rnacentral:rRNA from 1 species
GACGAACGCUGGCGGCGUGCUUAACACAUGCAAGUCGAACGGAAAGGCCCUGCUGUUGUGGGGUGCUCGAGUGGCGAACGGGUGAGUAACACGUGAGUAACCUGCCCUUGACUUUGGGAUAACUUCAGGAAACUGGGGCUAAUACCGGAUAGGAGCUCCUGCUGCAUGGUGGGGGUUGGAAAGUUUCGGCGGAUGGGGAUGGACUCGCGGCUGAUCAGCUUGUUGGUGGGGUAGUGGCUUACCAAGGCUUUGACGGGUAGCCGGCCUGAGAGGGUGACCGGCCACAUUGGGACUGAGAUACGGCCCAGACUCCUACGGGAGGCAGCAGUGGGGAAUAUUGCACAAUGGGCGGAAGCCUGAUGCAGCAACGCCGCGUGCGGGAUGACGGCCUUCGGGUUGUAAACCGCUUUCGCCUGUGACGAAGCGUGAGUGACGGUAAUGGGUAAAGAAGCACCGGCUAACUACGUG